AACCAUAGAAACCUGCGGAGUACCUGCGGAAGGAUCAUUACAGAGUUAUCCAACUCCCAAACCCAUGUGAACUUAUCUCUUUGUUGCCUCGGCGCAAGCUACCCGGGACCCAGCGCCCCGGGCGGCCCGCCGGCGGACAAACCAAAACUCUUGUUAUCUUAGUUGAUUAUCUGAGCGUCUUAUUUAAUAAGUCAAAACUUUUAACAACGGAUCU
rnacentral:misc_RNA from 1 species